rnacentral:snRNA from 1 species
AGCUUUGCGCAGUGGCAGUAUCGUAGCCAAUGAGGUUUAUCCGAGGCGCGAUUAUUGCUAAUUGAUCACUGGCCUGUCAAAAUAGGGACAACUAUUACUCCUUGGUCAGGAAAGUUUCUAGCAGCGAAAAUUAUUAUUUUUUUUUAAAA